rnacentral:rRNA from 1 species
AUGCAGCCAUGCCGCGUGUAUGAAGAAGGCCUUCGGGUUGUAAAGUACUUUCAGCAGUGAGGAAGGUGGGUAUGUUAAUAGCAUAUUCAUUUGACGUUAGCUGCAGAAGAAGCACCGGCUAACUCCGUGCCAGCAGCCGCGGUAAUACGGAGGGUGCGAGCGUUAAUCGGAAUUACUGGGCGUAAAGCGCAUGCAGGUGGUUUGUUAAGUCAGAUGUGAAAGCCCGGGGCUCAACCUCGGAAUUGCAUUUGAAACUGGCAAACUAGAGUACUGUAGAGGGGGGUAGAAUUUCAGGUGUAGCGGUGAAAUGCGUAGAGAUCUGAAGGAAUACCGGUGGCGAAGGCGGCCCCCUGGACAGAUACUGACACUCAGAUGCGAAAGCGUGGGGAGCAAACAGGAUUAGAUACCCUGGUAG